rnacentral:rRNA from 1 species
UACAGAGGUCUCAAGCGUUGUUCGGAUUCAUUGGGCGUAAAGGGUGCGUAGGCGGCGCGGUAAGUCGGAUGUGAAAUCUCGGAGCUUAACUUCGAAACUGCAUUCGAUACUGCCGUGCUUGAGGACUGGAGAGGAGACUGGAAUUUACGGUGUAGCGGUGAAAUGCGUAGAUAUCGAGAGGAACACCAGUGGCGAAGGCGAGUCCCUGGACAACACCUGACACUGAGGCACGAAAGCUAGGGGAGCAAACAGG